AGUGAACGCUGGCGGUAGGCCUAACACAUGCAAGUCGAACGGCAGCACAGGAGAGCUUGCUCUCUGGGUGGCGAGUGGCGGACGGGUGAGGAAUACAUCGGAAUCUACUCUGUCGUGGGGGAUAACGUAGGGAAACUUACGCUAAUACCGCAUACGACCUACGGGUGAAAGCAGGGGACCUUUGGGCCUUGCGCGAUUGAAUGAGCCGAUGUCGGAUUAGCUAGUUGGCGGGGUAAAGGCCCACCAAGGCGACGAUCCGUAGCUGGUCUGAGAGGAUGAUCAGCCACACUGGAACUGAGACACGGUCCAGACUCCUACGGGAGGCAGCAGUGGGGUAUAUUGGACAAUGGGCGCAAGCCUGAUACAGCCAUACCGCGUGGGUGAAGAAGGCCUUCGGGUUGUAAAGCCCUUUUGUUGGGAAAGAAAUCCAGCUGGCUAAUACCCGGUUGGGAUGACGGUACCCAAAGAAUAAGCACCGGCUAACUUCGUGCCAGCCGCCGCAGUAA
rnacentral:rRNA from 1 species